rnacentral:rRNA from 1 species
AUACUGAGUGGCAAACGGGUGAGUAUAAUGUGGGAAUCUGCCUUUUGGUUCGGAAUAACACGAGGAAACUUGUGCUAAUACCGGAUAAGCCCUAACGGGGAAAGUUUUAAUGCCAAAAGAUGAGCCCGCACUUGAUUAGCUAGUUGGCAAGGUAAUGGCUUACCAAGGCAACGAUCAAUAGCUGUUCUUAGAGGAAGACCAGCCACAUUGGGACUGAGACACGGCCCAAACUCCUACGGGAGGCAGCAGUGGGGAAUCUUGCACAAUGGGGGAAACCCUGAUGCAGCGAUGCCGCGUGAGUGAAGAAGGCCUUUGGGUUGUAAAGCUCUUUCGUCGGGGAAGAAAAUGACUGUACCCGAAUAAGAAGGUCCGGCUAACUUCGUGCCAGCAGCCGCGGUAAUACGAAGGGACCUAGCGUAGUUCGGAAUUACUGGGCUUAAAGAGUUCGUAGGUGGUUAAAAAAGUUGAUGGUGAAAUCCCAAGGCUCAACCUUGGAACUGCCAUCAAAACUUUUUAGCUAGAGUGUGAUAGAGGAAAGUGGAAUUUCUAGUGUAGAGGUGAAAUUCGUAGAUAUUAGAAAGAACAUCAAAAGCGAAGGCAACUUUCUGGAUCAUUACUGACACUGAGGAACGAAAGCAUGGGUAGCGAAGAGGAUUAGAUACCCUCGUAGUCCAUGCCGUAAACGAUGUGUGCUAGACGUUGGAAACUUAGUUUUCAGUGUCGCAGCGAAAGCAUUAAGCACACCGCCUGGGGAGUACGACCGCAAGGUUAAAACUCAAAUGAAUUGACGGGGACCCGCACAAGUAGUGGAGC